GUAGGUGAACCUGCGGAAGGAUCAUUAAACAAGUUCUGUCCUGGUCUGACCAGCGUGGGCGUAGGGUUUUCUGUGAAUUCAGAAAGGGAUAGCUCAACAGAAGAGACUUUUCGGGGAAAACAACCGGGCGCAGGUCGAGAAGGCGCGGUGCCAACCCAAGGUAAACAACGGUGCUCGAGUACGACCCGGGGUUGGAUGCGGCCCACUCCCCAAACUACGCCGCCCGGUCCCCGCCCUACCUGCCUGAACC
rnacentral:misc_RNA from 1 species